rnacentral:rRNA from 1 species
GAUGAACGCUGGCGGCGUGCUUAACACAUGCAAGUCGAACGAGAAGUGAGGACGGCAACCUUCGGGCGGAAGGCGUUAUUUCGAGUGGCGGACGGGAGAGUAACGCGUGGGUAACCUGCCGCAUACGGGGGGAUAACAGUUGGAAACGACUGUUAAUACCGCGUAAGACCACAGCACCGCAUGGUGCGUGGGGCAAAACUCCGGUGGGAUGAGAUGGACCCUCGUUCGCUUAGCCAGUUGGCGGGGUAACGGCGCACCAAAGCGACGAUCGAUAGCCGAUCUGAGAGGAUGGCCGGCAAUAUUGCGACAGAGACACGGCCCAAAUUCCGGCGGGAGGCAGCAAUGCGGAAUAAUGCACAAUGGGUGAAACACUGAGGCAGCGACGCCGUGUGAGUGAAGAAGUAUUUCGGUAUGUAAAGCUCUAUCAGCAGGGAAGAAAAGGACGGAACCAGAGUAAGAGGCCCCGCCUACCUACGG